CGCAUCUGUGCAUGCAGCAUAUCAAUAAGCGGAGGAAAAGAAACUAACAAGGAUUCCCCUAGUAACGGCGAGUGAAGCGGGAAGAGCUCAAAUUUGAAAUCUUAAAGGGUUUCCCUUUACGAAUUGUAGUUUAAAGAAGUGUUUUCUGUUGAGGUUUUGGUAAAAGUUCUUUGGAAUAGGACAUCAUAGAGGGUGAGAAUCCCGUAUUUGACCUUUACUUUCAACUUUGUGAUACACUUUCAAAGAGUCGGAUUGUUUGGGAAUGCAGUCCAAAAUGGGUGGUAAAUUUCAUCUAAAGCUAAAUAUUGGCGAGAGACCGAUAGCGAACAAGUACCGUGAGGGAAAGAUGAAAAGAACUUUGAGAAAGAGAGUUAAACAGUACGUGAAAUUGUCAAAAGGGGAGCGUUUGACACCAGUGUUGUUUUUCUGAAAAUCAAUUAAAGAACUGUUUAUGCUAAGCUGUUUAGACUUUAUCAGCUAACUGUUUAGUUUUGAGCUUUUCUUUAAUGCACUUUUCAGUUAACAAGUCAACAUCAAUUUCUUUUGCUGUAAAAAAAGCUUGAGGAAGGUGGCUUGAGAUUCGUCUUAAGUGUUUAUAGCCUCUUGCCUAUGCAGUCGGAGAGAUUGAGGUCUGCAGCGUAGAUCCUUCGGGGCUAAAUGCAUUUGUGCUAAGUUAUAGCAUUUCAUAGACAACUUGUUGACUAUGAUUUGUCUUGUAGCUUACUCGCUUAUGUUAUUUUACCUACGCUUAGGAUGUUGACAGCAGUAUAGACUGU
rnacentral:rRNA from 1 species